AUUGAACGCUGGCGGCAUGCCUUACACAUGCAAGUCGAACGGUAACAGGUCUUCGGAUGCAGACGAGUGGCGAACGGGUGAGUAAUACAUCGGAACGUGCCUAGUAGUAGGGGAUAACUACUCGAAAGAGUGGCUAAUACCGCAUGAGAUCUACGGAUGAAAGCAGGGGAUCGCAAGACCUUGUGCUACUAGAGCGGCCGAUGGCAGAUUAGGUAGUUGGUGGGAUAAAAGCUUACCAAGCCGACGAUCUGUAGCUGGUCCGAGAGGACGAUCAGCCACACUGGGACUGAGACACGGCCCAGACUCCUACGGGAGGCAGCAGUGGGGAAUUUUGGACAAUGGGCGCAAGCCUGAUCCAGCAAUGCCGCGUGCAGGAUGAAGGCCUUCGGGUUGUAAACUGCUUUUGUACGGAACGAAAAGCCCCGGGUUAAUACCCUGGGGUCAUGACGGUACCGUAAGAAUAAGCACCGGCUAACUACGUGCCAGCCGCCGCAGUAA
rnacentral:rRNA from 1 species